UACGUCCAAAUCACAUCGAAACGCUAGUUUUCGUACGAUCACCGAAGUUAAGCAACGUUGAGCCUGCUCAGUACCUAGAUGGGUGACCGCAUUGGGAAUACC